AGUGAACGCUGGCGGUAGGCCUAACACAUGCAAGUCGAACGGCAACACAGUACGAGCUUGCUCUUCCCGGUGGCGAGUGGCGGACGGGUGAAGUGUCCAUCAGACUCUACUUUUUCGUGGGGAAAAAGCUGGGAAAGCUACCUCAAACCCCCUAACGUCCCAAGAGUGAAAGGAGGGGACUUUCGGCCCCUUGCCCUUUGAAUUGGCCCAGUUGGGAUUAGCUAGUUGGCGGGGUAAAGGCCCACCAAGGCGACGAUCCGUAGCUGGUCUGAGAGGAUGAUCAGCCACACUGGAACUGAGACACGGUCCAGACUCCUACGGGAGGCAGCAGUGGGGAAUAUUGGACAAUGGGCGCAAGCCUGAUCCAGCCAUACCGCGUGGGUGAAGAAGGCCUUCGGGUUGUAAAGCCCUUUUGUUGGGAAAGAAAAGCAGCAGGUUAAUACCCCGCUGUUCUGACGGUACCCAAAGAAUAAGCACCGGCUAACUUCGUG
rnacentral:rRNA from 1 species